AUCCCCAGGUCAUCAGCGCCGUCGUCUUCAUCUUCGCAUGCUUCUCAGCACGGAACCCAGGUUAAUGGCUUCUCGUCUUUAUCUUCACUGAUUGUUCGAUCUUCUUCUUGGUUUGAACUUUGAAGUUCUGAAAUUGUUGUUCUUUGGUCUUCUUCUUCGGUCUUCUUCUUCAAUUUUUGUUCCAUUUUUAGUGUGACUGUUUUCUAAUUGCUCAAUGGCUCGAUUGCUCUGUUAGUUUACUGAUGGCUCUGUUAGUUUGUUACUCUGUUUUACUAGUUGCCGAUGGCUCCUAAUUUUUUUGUUCAAAUUUGCUAAUGUUUUUCACAGUGGCACAAGAAGAGUAUGCGAACAAUGGAAAUGCUACUUGGGAUUUAAAUUCCGAUGAUAGAGGUAGAUUUUAGUGUUUUGUAGUUGCUGGUUUUGCUGGUUUUGGAAUGCUGAAUGCUGGUUUUGUUGAAAUAUUUUGGGUGAAGCUUUUUUUGUUACUCUGUUUUGGACUUUUGGUUUGUUUGUUGCUGAAUGCUGUAGGCAGAUUUUAGAUAUGGUCUUAUUGAUGAAGAAAUUGAUUUUUCAUUGUGCUGCUAUUUUUAAUUUCGUAUCUGUUUAUUAAUUUUAGUUAUGGAUAAUAAUAUUAAUCAAGAAGCAAUUGCUGAUAACAAUGCAUCUGUGCAUUUGUGAAUAAUAACUUGCCCGUCAAUUCUCCUAUUUCGAAUGAGGCUGCUAACGAUAGUCAGUCACAAGGUUCUUCUAACAAAUACCUGUCAUGGAAGGUGUAAUUUUUGGUCUGCUUAUGCAUACUAAAGGCUUCAUUGAAAUUAUAGUACUCAACAUUGGCUGGGAACAAAAGGUAUUGGGCGAUGAAGUAUUUUCAAUCAUGGUUCCUGUAACAAUUCUGAUGACAACAUCAUCUCACACACAGUGGCAUUGAUCCACAAGCCAAGAAAAAGGCACAUAUCAUACAAGAACAGAACAAUGCAAAGUAUAGGAACAGAUAUUUUAUGUAUUGUUUAUAAUUUAUUUAUUAUUUUAUU